ACCCCCGGGACGGUGCCCGCCCGUUUUUACGCACCCACUGGGCGCGAGAAUGGGAGACCCACCCGCUUCCCAGCCCCGGGCACGCAUUCUCAAGAGGCAGCCGCGGGGUUGGGCCAAGCGGGCAGGUACGAUCAUGCUCCCUGUCCCCGAGGUAUUUGAGCGGCCUCAACAAAGGCGACAUGGGAAGCCCCUCCCGUCGGGGUAGCCGUCACAAUCUCGGCAGGCGACGCGAGGACCUCCGAGGGAAGGGGCGAACGCAGAGGGACUCUGGUGUUUUCACUGGAACUUCCCACCCUCACUUGCAGACCCCCUAUUACAGCUGCUUUGCUCUGACUGCGGGAGCAGGUCAUCGCGGGGCGACUUCCCAAGGUUCUUUCCCGCUAAGGGAUCUGCUAAAGUGCCUGUGUGUAAUGAGAAGGCAGGGAUCAGCCGCAGAGCUCGGGGGAGGACUCAGCCUUUUCAAGUGUGUGGAACCCGAAAGGUUGGAGCAACUAGAAAUUGAGCGUCCAGGAGUGGAAGCCGAAGAACGGGAAUUACCUCCGGCUACUGGCUAUCUGUUUUGCCACUUGAACCUUUCAGUUGCUCAGCAUCUCACCCAGACCCCCCAAUAAGUGACUUUUUUAUGGACGGUUGAUGUUAAUAAACUUCGGCCUGGAAUCGGAGACUAAACCGAAGUCUUCUCGCACCCAAAUCCACUAGAGGGCAGGGCUACACCUUCUGAGUUCGACCGCAGUCGCCACAAAGAACUGUAAAGACCGCAGGAGUUCCUCCCUUGUGUGCUAGAGGUCAGGACCUUUGGAACAAUGUGUCUUUGACCAGAUGUAUCAACCUUAAGCAGCCUGGUUAGAGGAAAGAAGUGGGGAAAACUUCAUUUGUUGGCAGCAGUGGGAUCCAAAGGAAAUUCCUGAUGGAUUCUGGGAUAACAAGAAACACAGUUCUUUCUUACCAUUUCUGAAGGCCGUGGAUAAAUUCCUCUGCAUUCUGAUCCCUGU